rnacentral:lncRNA from 1 species
UUUUCAGUUGAUGCUUUCCUCUCGGAUCAUUGGCACUAAUCAUUAAUUCCAAAUACUCGAGCUGUAAGGAAAAUGCAACUAGUUCACUCAAAACGUGCAAAUACAGUUCUCACGGGUCUCGACUGUGAUUUGGCUCAACCAGUCUCACACCACUUCAAAUAUGACUCGGCUCAACCCAAUCUAGCUCUCGUCAAUUCGAACGUGAUGUGGCCUAACCUGACCUCCCGCCAAAAGAAAUGAUGUUGUCUCCUUUAAGCCAACAUUCCCAACAUAGCAUCUAUCUAAUUUCUUCCAAUUUGAAUCUUCUAAACUUUAAAAGAGUACUCUAAAUCAAAUUUAACAGUAUCAAUUGCUGAUUCGGAUGAUCCAUCACUGUAAACAAUGCGAAG